rnacentral:misc_RNA from 1 species
UCUCCGUUGGUGAACCAGCGGAGGGAUCAUUACAGAGGACCCGUCGCCUGCGACGCCCUCGCGAACACGCCCUCGUUGCUUCGGCGGGCCGCCCCCGGGGGGCCCGCCGGCGGCACCCGCCCUUCUGUCUCACUGUAGCCUCUCUGAGUCGGCACGCACAAUCAGUCAAAACUUUCAACAACGGAUCUCUUGGCUCUGGCAUCGAUGAAGAACGCAGC